GAUGAACGCUGGCGGCGUGCCUAAUACAUGCAAGUCGAGCGAACAGACGAGGAGCUUGCUCCUCUGACGUUAGCGGCGGACGGGUGAGUAACACGUGGAUAACCUACCUAUAAGACUGGGAUAACUUCGGGAAACCGGAGCUAAUACCGGAUAAUAUAUUGAACCGCAUGGUUCAAUAGUGAAAGACGGUUUUGCUGUCACUUAUAGAUGGAUCCGCGCCGCAUUAGCUAGUUGGUAAGGUAACGGCCUACCAAGGCGACGAUGCGUAGCCGACCUGAGAGGGUUGACCGCCCCACCGGGACCUAGCAAACGGCCCAACCCCCAAGGGAGGCCACCAUUGGGAAUCCCUCCCAAUGGGCGAAAGCCUGACGGAGCAACGCCGCGUGAGUGAUGAAGGUCUUCGGAUCGUAAAACUCUGUUAUUAGGGAAGAACAAAUGUGUAAGUAACUAUGCACGUCUUGACGGUACCUAAUCAGAAAGCCACGGCUAACUACGUG
rnacentral:rRNA from 1 species